rnacentral:rRNA from 1 species
CCUACGGGGGGCACCAGUGGGGAAUAUUGGACAAUGGGGGGAACCCUGAUCCAGCCAUGCCGCGUGUGUGAAGAAGGCCUUACGGUUGUAAAGCACUUUAAGCGAGGAGGAGGCUACUAGUAUUAAUACUACUGGAUAGUGGACGUUACUCGCAGAAUUAGCACCGGCUAACUCUGUGCCAGCAGCCGCGGUAAUACAGAGGGUGCGAGCGUUAAUCGGAUUUACCGGGCGUAAAGCGUGCGUAGGCGGCCAUUUAAGUCAAAUGUGAAAUCCCCGAGCUUAACUUGGGAAUUGCAUUCGAUACUGGAUGGCUAGAGUAUGGGAGAGGAUGGUAGAAUUCCAGGUGUAGCGGUGAAAUGCGUAGAGAUCUGGAGGAAUACCGAUAGCGAAGGCAGCCAUCUGGCCUAAUACUGACGCUGAGGUACGAAAGCAUGGGGAGCAAACAGGAUUAGAUACCCCGGUAGUC